UAACCUGGUUGAUCCUGCCAGUAGUGUAUGCUUCUCCUAAAGACUAAGCCAUGCAUGCCUUCGAAUACGAGGAAGCAAUUCUCUCUGAAUCUGCGAACGGCUCCGCAAACCAGUUGUAAACCAAAGCAAGCAUACUCGUGGUCUGCCCUUCACGGGGUGGGCUGCGGGUGAUACGGAUAACCCUGGUAAUUCUGAGGCUAAUACGAGACUGUACUCCCUGGCUAACCGGGCAACUGGUAGGCUGGGGGGCGUGCGAUCUAUUUGCAAGACGAUUCCAGGAAGGGGUGCACGCUCUGACCGCGACAAAGACAGUUCUGCCGGACCUUCACGGGCGAGUCAGUUCUGAGCGGCUCUUGCGAUGUGCUUCUGACCUAUCAACUAGAUGGCAGCGUAACGGACAUGCCAUGGUUACAACGGGUACAGAGGAUUAGGGUUCGAUCCUGGAGAGUGGGCCUGAGAGAUUGCUCAUACUUCUAAG
rnacentral:rRNA from 1 species